rnacentral:lncRNA from 1 species
UCCUGUGGAAGUCACACAAAAAAACAUGAGAUUUCUUAUUACAUACAAUCAAACCAAUGUGACCUUAAACAAAUUUAGAGAGGAACUUAAGAAGUAUGGGGUUACCACAAUAGUAAGAGUAUGUGAAGCAAUUUAUGACACUACUCUUGUGGAGAGGAAGGUAUCCAUGUUCUCAAUUGGCCUUUUGAUGAUGGUGCACCACCAUCCAACUAGAUUGUUGAUGACUGGUUAAGUAUUGUAAAAAUCAAGUUUUGUGAAGAACCUGGUUGAUGUAUUGCUAUUCAUUGUGUUGCAGGCCUUCAGAGAGCUCCAAUACUUGUUG